AGGACGAACGCUGGCGGCGUGCUUAACACAUGCAAGUCGAGCGGUAAGGCCCUUUCGGGGGUACAUGAGCGGCGAACGGGUGAGUAACACGUGAGCAAUCUGCCCUUCACUUCGGGAUAAGCCUCGGAAGCGGGGUCUAAUACCGGAUAUGACCGCGCUACGCAUGUGGUGUGGUGGAAAGUUCUGGCGGUGGAGGAUGAGCUCGCGGCCUAUCAGCUUGUUGGUGGGGUAAUGGCCUACCAAGGCUUCGACGGGUAGCCGGCCUGAGAGGGUGACCGGCCACACUGGGACUGAGACACGGCCCAGCCUCCUACGGGAGGCAGCAGUGGGGAAUAUGGACAAUGGGCGAAAGCCUGAUCCAGCAACGCCGCGUGAGGAUGACGGCCUGGGUUGUAACCGUCUUCAGCGCCGACGAAGCGAGAGUGACGUAGGCGCGAGAAGAAGACGACCGACCGAACCGUACGUAGCCGAACGCAGCCGC
rnacentral:rRNA from 1 species